GGAGGGUGCAAGCGUUAUCCGGAUUUACUGGGUUUAAAGGGUGUGUAGGCGGACUUUUAAGUCAGCGGUGAAAUCUCCGGGCUCAACCCGGAAACUGCCAUUGAUACUAUUGGUCUUGAAUGUUGUUGAGGUGGGCGGAACGGGUCAUGUAGCGGUGAAAUGCAUAGAUAUGACCCGGAACACCGAUUGCGAAGGCAGCCCACUAAGCAAUGAUUGACGCUGAGGCACGAAAGCGUGGGGAUCAAACAGGAUUAGAUACCCUGGUAGUCCACGCCCUAAACGAUGAUUACUCGACGUUGGCGAUACACUGAUCAGCGUCCAAGCGAAAGCAUUAAGUAAUCCACCUGGGAAGUACGUUCGNAANNAUG
rnacentral:rRNA from 1 species